rnacentral:rRNA from 1 species
UACGGAAGGCAGCAGUGGGGAAUAUUGCACAAUGGGCGCAAGCCUGAUGCAGCCAUGCCGCGUGUAUGAAAAAGGCCUUCGGGUUGUAAAGUACUUUCAGUCGUGAGGAAGGUGUUAAGGUUAAUAACCUUAGCAAUUGACGUUAGCGACAGAAGAAGCACCGGCUAACUCCGUGCCAGCAGCCGCGGUAAUACGGAGGGUGCGAGCGUUAAUCGGAAUUACUGGGCGUAAAGGGCACGCAGGCGGUUAAUUAAGUUGGAUGUGAAAUCCCCGGGCUUAACCUGGGAAUGGCAUUCAAGACUGGUUAGCUAGAGUCUUGUAGAGGGGGUAGAAUUCCAUGUGUAGCGGUAAAUGCGUAGAGAUGUGGAGGAAUACCGGUGGCGAAGGCGGCCCCUGGACAAAGACUGACGCUCAUGUGCGAAAGCGUGGGGAGCAAACGAGGAUUAGAUACCCGU